rnacentral:lncRNA from 1 species
GGGGGUUUAGUCCCACAUUGGUUGCGAGUCAGAAAUAUUCCGUCUUAUAUGAAAUAGAAGACUCUUUCUCUCUCAAGAGGUGCCUUUUGGGUCAAAGCCCAAAAGAUAAAGUUGUAAGAUCCGGCAGCUGCAAACGUACCAGCUAUGGCCCAAAGACCGCAAGCCUAUAAGUUAUGGCAAUGGCAAGCGUACCAGCUACGGCCUAGAGGGUCAAAGCCUAAAAGCUACGGUAUGUACGCGGCCAAAGCGGCCAAUACCUCUUACUUACUGGGAUAAGCCCUUCAUCCGUAUGAGCUCCAGAGUCUCUUGACCACAAUAAAUGACCCUUUCUCCCUCAAGAGGUAUUUUUUGAGCC